rnacentral:lncRNA from 1 species
ACGAUUCCACCGAGGGGAUGAACAAGAAGUGGUGGGUCAAUGUCCACAGUUGUGUGGGUAGACAUAAUAGUAACAACCUCUUCUUGAAACGGUUGAUCUAAUGUUGAGUUAGAUGCGACAGUGGAGACUUCAACCUUUGAUCUUGCGUUGACUUUGCAUGCUGACCACCAGUUUUUCUUUGAUUGGUUCGUACUGGGAUAGGGGCAGUAAAACACUUGAACUGCCUGACUCGCUAAAACAAACGGAUCAUACUUCUGAUAUUUUCUUGUGUGGUUCACUGAAACCAACUUGAAGUUUGUAUCAAUAGAAGUUCCCCGAGCAGACAAGUCAAACCAUUCACAUUUGAACAAGACUGUCUUCUUAAUUGGAUACCCCCAUACUCCAGCACACACACCUCUUGUAGACGCCCAUAAAAGUCUUGCACAUCUCUACCAUAGACCGAGCCUUUUAUGCAAACGCCACUGUUCACAGUUGCACGCUCUCCAUCAAGAUCAGUCGUGUGAAAUCUAUAGCCAUUCACAAAAUACCCGGAGUAUGUUUCAAUCUCAGUUAAAGGCCCUGCUGCAAGCGACUUGAUAUACGGGUUCAAAUCAUUGUUAGAAGGGCGAAUCACUUGUUAAACACAAUAAUUUAGGUUUGCAAGCCCAUUUUUAGUCAAGUAAAUGUAUAUUGAACAUAAAUUUGUCGCAUCUUACAUAAUGGCCAAACCACA